rnacentral:rRNA from 1 species
CCGACGGUGAGGGGCGAAAGCUGGGGGAGCAAACCGGAUUAGAUACCCGGGUAGUCCCAGCCGUAAACGAUGUGCGUUAGGUGUAUCGGUGACCACGAGUCACCGAGGUGCCGAAGAGAAAUCGUGAAACGUACCGCCUGGGAAGUACGGUCGCAAGGCUGAAACUUAAAGGAAUUGGCGGGGGAGCACCACAACAGGUGGAGCCUGCGGUUUAAUCGGACUCAACGCCGGAAAACUCACCAGAUAA